GAAGCUGGAAUUGCUAGUAAUGGCAGGUCAGCAUACUGCCGUGAAUACGUUCCCGGGCCUUGUACACACCGCCCGUCACACCAUGAGAGUUGGGGAUACCCGAAGCCUGUGAGCCAACUGUAAAGAGGCAGCAGUCGAAGGUAGAAUCAAUGAUUGGGGUGAAGUCGUAACAAGGUAUC
rnacentral:rRNA from 1 species